rnacentral:lncRNA from 1 species
CUCAUUCUAAAAAUAAAUCUCUAUCUUCAAAGAAAUUUUUACCUGGACGUUUGAGAGAGGUAGAUACCAGAUCAGGCCAGGAUUCAAAAGUUUGAGACGGCGCUACCCAUUGCCACGGUAAGACACCAUCAGGCCACCUGCACAGACCGCUACAUGGAAGUGACCCACAAUGACAACCAUAAAACAAGCAUUUCAACAACCACCAGAAAUCCCACAAAGGGCACAUAUAGCAAGAUAUUCCUCCCAAGAUAUUUGGAUUCCAAGAAGCAUGUAGGAUUUUGUGAUGCCGACAACCACUUGUAGAAAAAUCACAAGGCUGUACAUUCAUCAAAAUUCCAUACCAAUCCACUAAUCAUAAACUUCAGAAAAUGUUAAUCCAAAUCCUUGUUGGGCUAGUAUGGGAAAAAGUCUUGGUUAUAACCUUAUGCGUGCGUAUCCUAGGCUCAAGCGAGAACGAUAGAGCGCCACGUUAUUUACGCAUCAAUGCAAACAUAAUGUUGGAUCACAGCAGCCCCACAUGAAUCGGCCUACAGUGUGAGCAAUACAACACUACCCACCGAGGAUAAUGCUACUAUUACGAGGCAAAAGACCCUGGAUCCAACUUCUUAAGGAACCGACUGCAGCCAAUCCAUUGGAAGGUGAAGUUAAAAUGCUAAAUGCAGACGUAGACCUUUAUGGCGUUAACCACCUCCAUUAGCUGGUUUGGUAUGCUCCACCAUAGACAGCGCUGGAUAAGGUCAUCCUAACCUUGUACAGAUGGUAGAUUUAAUAUAUAUUAUUCUAAUUUUGCUGUAAAAAAAACAAAGAGCAUUUUGGGAGAAACCGUCCGGCAUGUGCCAAACACAACUCUAGGAUUCCUGAAAAGGAACAAUCAGCCCAAAAUAAUAAGAACAUUACGCUUAAAACACAAGUUUAUAUACCUAUACAGGGUAUCAUAAGAUUUGAGCGGAUUCGAACCACCAUCCUCUCAACCCCAAAUCCGGAACUGAGCGCAAGUUUAUGCACAGGGACCGGGUACUAAGAUCUAAGCGUAUUUGAACGAACCACCAUCCUCUCAACCCCAAUCCCGGAAUUGAGCGCAAGUUCAUACACAGGGACAGGGAUACUAUAUAUGAGAUCCGAGCGGACUUGAACCACCAUCCUCUCAACCCCAAACCCGGAAUUGAGAGCAGAUUUAUAUACAGGUACAGGGUACAAGUGUUAUAAGAUCUAAGCAGAGAUUUAAACCACCAUCCUCUCAAACCCCAAAGCCAGAAUUGAGCGCAAGUUUAUACACAGGGACAGGGUACACGCAUUAUAAGAUCCGAGCGGAUUUGAAACUCCAUCCUCUCAACCCCAAACCUGGAAUUGAGAGCAGAUUUAUAUGCAGGAACAGGGUACAAAUAUUAUAAGAUCUGAGCGGAUUUGAACCACCAUCAUCUCAACCCCAAAUUCGGAAUUGAGCGCUCAUGCCAAUUUGAGCUUACAGAUCUAUACAUUGAAGAAGCACUAGACACCAAAACUCAAAUUAUAUCUAAAGAGACCAUGUUUCUUAUAACAUACCUAAUAUAAAACAUCCUUUUCUUACUUAAAUUUUAACCAAUUUUGCAUUAAAAAACGAAAAAAAAUAUGGUAAUAUAGGAUGCAUUUAUCAUAGGAUUAAAAAACAAUUCCAACCAAAAAAAUUAUUCCACACCGGACAGCAUUUGAAAAAAAUUCCUAAUAACAACUGAAUGCUUUAAGGGUUAUUUUGCACUUUUUCUAAAACGGAUAAUAACAAUAGUUUUAUUUAGAUACAAAAAUAUAAUAAAACUUAUCAAACAAUUUUUUAUACUAAACAUAUUUAUAUAAGGUAUUUUUUUAAGAAUUGACUUCACUUUUUAAACAAAUUUACCUCAGCAAUUGCCAAAAUUUGCUAAUGUUGGCUUUAAUGAUAGUUUUAUCAAUUUUGCUAAAAGACUAAUUUAAACCAAUUAAAAUUACAAACGAUAAUUUCUUGAAAAAUUAAAACCACAAGAAUCGAGUAAAAACAGAUAGAACCCCUCGCGAAAAAGCUUACUAAAGUUUUGUAAACAGUCUCCUCGCAACUGCCGAAAUUAGAAAUGGAAAACACAAUUCGCUGCAAUUUUAAUCCACUGAUUUUAAACCAGCUUCAAAUUACCUUAAAAGCCAAAGUUCAACUUCAACGGCAUCCAUCCUUUAGCAUUGAGCCAAACUCAAAAGCUAUAAAACUAGCAUUAAACCAACGUUACCAAUUGCAUUACCAAUUGCAGCUUUAAACCAAAAUUCCCUUGACAUAUUUCAUAAAUGGAUCCAGAGUCGAUUUAUUGGUCAAAGAAACGUUUCCAGAUGGGUCGUCUUAUCCUGCAUAGGUUCUAUAAUUGAGAAUAUUGUAAAACAGGGCAGAAAACUACCAGAAAGAAAGCAAUUGAAGAUGAGGUUGUUGAGCACAAAUGACGUCUUAUAUGCAAUCUCUCACCUCAAUUGAUAUAAUUAUUUUCGGCCCGUAACUUGAAAAGGAAACACAGAUUGAAAUCUUGACCAAUAAAGAGCAAAGAGCAUUACUACAUUAAACAUUAUGACAGAAACUGUUACCACACAUUAAAGCUUUGACUGCAACACCAUCAAACUCCAUCAGAAACCUGCCUUGGAUUUUCCAUCUCUUCAUCACCAAACCAUGUUUAAGUUACCUUGGGACUACUUUCUCGAUAUAAAACAGUAUAAUAGAAGUAACAUAAAGAAUAAAGUAUUACAACAGAAGAAAUUUCAGGAAUGAAAACAGAUCCAUAUCAAACCUCAACUCGUAACAUGAAUCUGCAAACAAAGUGGUUGGAGAUACAGGAAAGCUUUACAAAAUGCUGUACAAGGUAUCAAAUCAAUGGAAAUGUCCAUAGAUUUAACAAGUACAAAGAAAGAACCACAUCAUCCUGUGAGCCAAUACUGUAACAUUUAAAUAUACUGGUGCAUUCACUUACGGUCUUAUGAAAUGAAUUAAAAACAAAACAAUGAAAUCGCAAAAUGCCCAUGUUUCAGGUUUCAAAUAGAAAAAGAUCCCGUAAAACGAAGAACCUCAGUGUCGACGCAAUAUCAUGAGUUCAAAUGAUAAAUAAAAUUUUAAUACUAAGAAAAUUUGCUUAUUACGUGAAUUGAAACCCUCUUAGAAUGUUUACCUUGGAAAGGGUGAUUCGGAAACCGUAACGCAGAUAAAAUCCCCGAAGCAAACUGUCCAUACCAAAUACUAAAUUAUUUUAGCCAAACUAAAAACCUCAGUUUCCGUUAGCCAUAACGGGUGGGACCACAGAAAAAGCAUCGAGGCAUCGUGUAAAUUAUUUGAUCUACUGCAUGUUGAAUGAGAUAUAUUGUUGGAUAUGGCUUAUCUAUAGUAAACUGAAUGUAACAUGUGUACCUUUAACGAUCUUCAGGGAUGGAUGA